ACAGAGGGGGCAAGCGUUGUCCGGAAUUACUGGGCGUACAGCGCGCGCAGGCGGACCGCCACGUGCCGUGUGACAAGCCACUGCUCAACAGUGGAGGGCCAGGGUACACGAGCGGUCUGGAGGCAGGGAGAGGGAUGUGGAAUGCCCGGUGGAGCGGUGAAAUGCGUAGAGAUCGGGCGGAACACCAGCGGCGAAGGCGGCAUCCUGGUCCUGUUCUGACGCUGAGGCGCGAGAGCGUGGGGAGCGAACUGGAUUAGAUACCCAGGUAGUCCACGCCGUAAACGAUGUGUACCCGGCGCUGGGGAGUGAUUGCGCUCCUCGGUGCCUCAGCUUACGCAGUGAGUACACCGCCUGGGGACUACGGCCGCAAGGCUA
rnacentral:rRNA from 1 species